GUUACCCUUGCGGAAAGGCAAUUGAUUUUGUACGCUAUAUACACGUGAGAGGUAACGGAAAAUGCCUCUCAAAUGUAGAUUCAAGAUCGCAUCUUAUCGCUGUAAUAGUACUUACGUGUUUUUACCGUAAACCGUAGUUCAUAACCAUUUCGAAAGACGGCUUUUAUUUUUCGUUAGCUCUUUACUGCGACCUCACCUGGUGAUAACAGUGGUGUUUAUUAUGAAAUUCCUUGUAAUAUUCAUAAUAUUCAUUGCAUCCGAGAGAAUAUCUCUCGCAAAACACAGUCCCCGGUGGCUGUCCUCGGGGAGACGAACAAUUAUACUGCUUGGAAAUAACAGUUUAUACUAUUUCUAUAAUUUUAAGGGCGAAUUAAAUACUUUGGUUCUGGUCAUCCACUAUAAACCUAUGUAUAGAAGUAGAAAGGCCACUCACGCCAGCGUGGAAUACGGCCCAGGGUCGUUCAAGCGCGGUCAGGCGAAAAAUCCGCCAGAGUAUCUAAUUACGAGAUUCCAAAAACUUUUGGCUAUGAAAAAGAAAAUGGAAGAAAAAAUCGACAGUAAACCUUUUUUU